GCCUUAUUCACUCUCACCAACCAAUAAGAUUUUUUCCUCAUUUUUCUCCCCCAUUCAAACAUCAAUCUCUCUCUCUCUUUUUCUCAACCAAUUAGAAAGCUUUCUCUCUCUCUCUCUCUCUCUCUCUCUCUCAUCUUCUCCUUCUCUCUCCUUUACCCAUGACUCUCUUCUCUGCAACAUCAAGGACCCUCAUCAACACUCAUGGAUUGACUCUCAAAUUACCACCAUCGUGUUCCUCUCAUCCCCACAAACACAUCUGUACCAACCGAUCACGAAGUGGACGAGUUUUGAGUGUCCAACUCGAAGCUCUGACUCGAGUGGAGUUUAUUCUGACGUCUUCUUGUGUGAGUUACAAGGUUUUGGGAGUUUUGGGAGCAUCUAGGCAACUCCUCGAGGCCAUUAACUUAGUUUUAAAGUGGAGCCGAUGAGGAAACUCACGGUUUUGGGACGUUGAGUUUAGGUUUGAAGCUUUCGAGGCUUUUUCAACCCUUUUCCAAGUUCUUUUUGGACUCUCAAGAGAUACAAUCUUAUUUUCCUCGUCAUGGGCUUCAAUUCCAUAUAAAUUUCGUUGAAAAUGGUUAAGAAUUGACAAAAGUUACAGAGUUUUGAAAUUUUUUCCAAAAACCGGGGAACCAGACGGCGGAGGACUACCAGAGAAGAAGAUCGAAUAUUCCGUCAAAGUUGACGGAAUAUUUUGAUGCCGUCAAGUAACACCGUUAACUGACGCCGUUAUCGUUAGCGAAAUAUUCCGUCAAGUCUAACAGAAUAUUCCCUAGGUCUGUCAGCUUCUGACCUGCAUGGGCAAGCGUGUAGUCGUGGGCUAGGUGGUGUGAGGGCUCGUUCGGCCUCCGGCCAACGUGUGGUUGACGUGUACGGGUCCGUGACUUCGUGUAAAACAUUUUCGUAUAUUUAAACCCUCCGUUUGAGCAAACUAUGGGUGUUUUUCCUAGCCUUUUUGUUUAUGUCCUAAUUAAUUAAUUAGUUUAGUUAUUUCCCACGUAGGUGAGACUUAUCCCGAGAACGUACGAGGUCAAGAAAGGCUAGGAGGCUACGAUCAAUUAAUGUAUCAGUGAUUGGGCAUUUGUUUUCGUGUCCUAGUUAGUUGAUUUACUCUGUGGCUUAAGAGGAAUAUCUGGCGAUUUUGACAUACCUCUAAAUAAAUGUAGGAACUUUUCCUGUUGUGUAAUAAGUACUUUAUCUAGUUUCAACUGCACACUUUUAGGUCAUCUAUACUCUGAACACUAAUGUUUUAUGGGUUAUUCCCACUACUGCGCACUUGCUACAUUAGAUUAAAUUUAGUUUAAUUUAUCCAUAUUUUUAUGCUUCA